CCGUUGCACAGCGCCAUUAUGUCCUAUAACAUUCGGCAGGAGGACGGGAACGGGUUAACGCCGAGUUGCCGCACACGAUAAGACGGACACACGACGAAAUCAUAUGACUCGAUGACGAUCCCAAUUCUCUGUCCCUCCGUCAUCGGCGGACGCGAUCUACGAAUUCGCCGUACAAAGUGGCUGCUCUGCCCGCUACACGGAAAGAAAAAUUAGUGUCGAUUCAAGGCUCGUAUUUUCAUAAAUAAGCGAGAAUAUACAAUCCUGCGUGAAGAUAAAACGUGCUUACACGGACAAAUUCUACAUGAUUCUACGUAGAAAAAUAUCCAAUUCGUGUUAUUCAAGAAUAAUUCUCUCACAAAUCGGGAGGAAAAAGUAUCGAAUAGGAAGAAGGAUGCCUUCAAAUUAAAAAUUGUAUCAGUUUGAAGACUGCAGUUAUUCUUCCCAUCCAAUAUUUUUCUUCUCGAUUCAUGAAGAUUACUCUUGAAUAACAUAAGAAUAUGAUAUUUUUAUUGAAGCUAAACAGAAUUUCUUUAUGUAAGUGAGUUUUGUCCUCAUAUAAAAUUACGUAUUUCUUGUUUAUGCGAGAAUAUAAGCCUUGAAUUUUGAUACUGAUUUUCUCCGCAUAAUUGAACGAAGAUUUCUGCAAGGUGUUUUCCCGGAUCAUCUCGUUAUUAAUCGUGAUAACCGAAAGCCGGCCCGAGUUAUGUGAUUGAUUUAUCCCGUACAUCGUGAAGCAAGGGAUGAAGAGGCUUGAAUUGUGUGGCAAGUAUGAGAGGGACGAGACAAGCAUGACGAUCACACGCGGACACCGCGCGAGAAAAAUGAUUAACUAUACCACCUAUUUUACUCGAGGAAGGAUCGAUGCGCGACUGUCCUCCGUGAGAGACAUGGACCCAAAUGGUUAAACGCUUCCUGAAGACGUUCCUCGAAGCGAAUAAAGCGGUGAAUCGUCUGCUGCCUCCAAAAGCUGUAGCGUUCAACUAUUUAUAUUUUCCAACAGAUGCCUUUCGCGACUGUAUAACGCUGAUUUUUCUUUAUUCCCUUUUUUUCCUUUUCUUUCAUUACGAAGAACACAAAGAUUAUCGCACGAUAUUCAACGUGAUUCCGAUGAAGAUAAGGCGCGAGAGAGACUCGAGGAUACUCGUUGGUCACGAGUGUCUCUUCUUUCUCGUAUGAUCCUUCGUCCCGGCAUGAUCAUUGUGAUCGAAUCGAGUGCGAGUAACGGCACAAUUGAUAUGAGCGUAAUUACAAAGCGUAUAAAAGCAGACGGUCAUAAUGCAUGUUGUUGCACUUACCUGCGACAUCGGUGGGCUUAUACGCGGCUUAUACACCAUCCUUCCACAUCGGAUAUGUACAUUACCGAUUAGUUUGGAUCAUGCAGCAGGGUAGAGCAAUGUGGCCCCACAGUGUGUGUGUGGAUAACGUUAUGAAAUAAAAGUAAACGAUCAUGCGAACGAUAUAAUGAGGCAACACCUUGGUUCUCUCUCUCUCUCUCUCUCUCUCUCUCUCUCUCUCUCUCUCUCUCUCUCGUUUCGAAUUUCCCUGUUGCUGGAGCAACCGAUGCGGAAUCGCAGAGUAAAGCUAGAAUCCAGCAAAAGGGGUAUUGUAUACACACAUGAGUGCAAUUCUCCAAGUAUAAUGAUAAUACAAUUUUAUUAAAAAAAAAAGUAUUACUCUC